UUGCCUACGGGACGCAGCAGUGGGGGAUAUUGCACAAUGGGGGAAACCCUGAUGCAGCGACGCCGCGUGAGUGAAGAAGUAUUUCGGUACGUAAAGCUCUAUCAGCAGGGAAGAAAAAUGACGGUACCUGACUAAGAAGCCCCGGCUAACUACGUGCCAGCAGCCGCGGUAAUACGUAGGGGGCAAGCGUUAUCCGGAUUUACUGGGUGUAAAGGGAGCGUAGACGGAGGAGCACGUCUGAUGUGACAAUCCGUGGCCCAACCCCGGAACUGCAUUGGAAACUGUUUAUCU
rnacentral:rRNA from 1 species